rnacentral:rRNA from 1 species
AUUGAACGCUGGCGGAAUGCUUUACACAUGCAAGUCGAACGGCAGCACGGGGGCAACCCUGGUGGCGAGUGGCGAACGGGUGAGUAAUACAUCGGAACGUGCCCAGUCGUGGGGGAUAACGUAGCGAAAGCUACGCUAAUACCGCAUACGAACUCAGGUUGAAAGCGGGGGAUCGCAAGACCUCGCGCGAUUGGAGCGGCCGAUGGCAGAUUAGGUAGUUGGUGGGGUAAAGGCCUACCAAGCCGACGAUCUGUAGCUGGUCUGAGAGGACGACCAGCCACACUGGGACGUGGACACGGCCCAGACUCCUACGGGAGGCAGCAGUGGGGAAUUUUGGACAAUGGGCGCAAGCCUGAUCCAGCCAUUCCGCGUGCAGGAUGAAGGCCCUCGGGUUGUAAACUGCUUUUGUACGGAACGAAACGGCCUGCUCUAAUACAGCGGGCUAAUGACGGUACCGUAAGAAUAAGCACCGGCUAACUACGUGCCAGCCGCCGCGGUAAAAC